rnacentral:ribozyme from 2 species
CUACUAACUCUGCCUACAGCUUCUCCGGGGGCUACUGCCGGUCCCAAGCCCGGAUAAAGGAGGAGGGUUGG